CCUACGGGGGGCAGCAGUAGGGAAUUUUCCGCAAUGGGCGAAAGCCUGACGGAGCAAUACCGCGUGAGGGAUGACUGCCUAUGGGUUGUAAACCUCUUUUUUCAGGGAGGAAUAAAUGACGUGUACCUGAAGAAUAAGCAUCGGCUAACUCCGUGCCAGCAGCCGCGGUAAGACGGAGGAUGCAAGUGUUAUCCGGAAUCACUGGGCGUAAAGCGUCUGUAGGUGGCUCGACAAGUCAACUGUUAAAUCUUGAAGCUCAACUUCAAAAUCGCAGUCGAAACUAUCGGACUAGAGUAUAGUAGAGGUAAAGGGAAUUUCCAGUGGAGCGGUGAAAUGCGUAGAGAUUGGAAAGAACACCGAUGGCGAAGGCACUUUACUGGGCUAUUACUGACACUCAGAGACGAAAGCUAGGGUAGCAAAUGGGAUUAGAUACCCUGGUAGUC
rnacentral:rRNA from 1 species